AUCUCGCGGAUCUUAAGAUCGUGGAGAAGUUGCUCUUUUCUGUUGGGAGCGCGUGCGAUGCCAUGGGUGAAUUUAUAUAAUUCCCGUAUAUCUCCGCCGGCUCCGAAGAUCUGGUCGUCAGUUUAUGCACAGCCUUUGCGGAGUGUGCUCGGGUACCGCGUUCUCUCUUUUUAACGAUCCGAGAUUGUGAGAAGUAGCUUUACGGCGGUUGGAAGCACCCUUGAGACGAGCUGUGUGCAAAUUUUCGCGAGUCAUUCCGAAGGGGGUCGAAUUGUCAGCAUAAGAUUGCCACCCUUAAUUUUCGGGGGGUGGGAGUGUAUGAGUGUAUGUGUGUAUGUAUCGGCGAUCGCGUUGUUUGUUCUGGCCGGAAUCGGUGCAUCCCUAGCUGAGGCCGAAGAAGACAAAGCGAAGAAUCUGUGACAUUUCAGGCACCUCCGAGUGAAGUGAGUAACUCCACAAGGCGAAAUAAUUGAAGCACUCGAGUGAAGUUGGUGGCGCGGUAUUUCUUCUGGGUGGAAGUGCAUUCGUUGGCGGCAGCGGCGCGACGUGCUGGAACAUUGUGCAGCAGUGACAUUUCGUUUCGCGGGCACUGGCGCAUGCAACUCCCCGGUCGGGUCUUCAACGCGCGACGCAGCAUUAGUGGUGGAAUGAAGGAAAGCACAAAAGCACGCUGAGCAUCGCGCGGUCGCAAUUGAAUAACUCCCGACAGUACUGUUGUUGCAGGGUGCACAUGAAAGUGAAAUUGCCUACCCACAUAAGGCUGCACUUGCGCCACCAAGGUCGUCGAGCAAGCAAAUUUUGACAAUUACCAGUGGGAGUUGGCUUUUGGGUCACCCAAAAGUUUACCAGAAGUCAGGCCGGAGCUGGUGUGCGGUGUGCCCUUCACGAACUUGCCUGGGUGAUGUAAUAACAUUGAAAGUUGAAAAAAAGUUGUCCGUCACGCACUUUUCGCUAUCAAAUGUCAGCCCAAGAUCACAAGAAACCACCAAAAAGUAGGUGACUCUCCUUCAUUGGAUAAUCGCUAGCAGCCUGAACGUGGCCAAGUGAUUGAUACCGCUGAACCGAACACCACCACAUCAUCAGUGAAGUUCAUAACUCAUUAGGGGGGUUGCCGCCACGACCAAAGUUAAGCAAAAAAAACUAGAGGGUGAAAAAUUGCACAUUGUCGAGCGAAUCAAUCGGAAAAUGCGCGUAUCUUGCGGCAGCCCAAAUUUAUAAAAGAAAGAAAAAAAAUCCCAUUCGCGGUUGUGAGUCUGUGGUGCAGGAGUGUCUCAGUGCUAAACGAAGAAAGGGGGUCAAAAAUAGAAGAAACUUCAACAGAAGACGCCGAGAAGGAGGAUCGUUGGUUUGGAUUCAACCGUACAAUCGUCGAAACGAGCCAUAGGGGCGGCGUGAAAUUAGAAGAGAAGAAAAAAAAACGAGCAGCCCAAAACAUCAUCAGCACCAUCAAGGCAAAAGGCACCCAGAAAACAGAAUCGUCAAGCAUGAGUUUUAACACGACGACGACGACGACGGUUAUGCAGGUAUGAGCGCACAUCCACUGAAGUCAAAGGUAGAAGAAUUCAUCGGGGCGAAGCCCACAUUCAAUCACCCAAUCAGAUUCAAUCCGUCGUCGCCCUCUGUGCCAUGAACUACGCGCGCCUCCAGAGAUGUAGUAAAAGAUAUAUUAUUCAAUAACGUGGUGGUAGCUACGUAUUAUGGCAGUAUGUACCUACCUACCUAUGGUGUGUCUUGUUGAGGUGGCAAUAAACAUCGGUUCAAUGUUGUGAACCACUUAAUAGCUACUACUAUCACUCGGUGUUAAAAGCAACAGGCUUGGCCAGUUUACUGCCGAUUACCCUCGGGGCCCAGUCGACAAUAAGUAUAAUGCCUGUGCUUAGGUACGCGGGGCGACUACGAAUGAUUGCCCUCUGCUAUCUCUGUAGGGUUGCGGUACGUGUUGUCGACCCGGGUAGUUUAUCAAACUGACGAGUGCAAUUUUCAAUCGGAUCUCGUUGAAAUGCAUUUCGCGUUCAUUUAACAAAGUCUGAACUUUUUCAUGUUCCUGCGGCUGACAACCCUACGGUAGCAGCAUGCUUCCAUUCAAGUAAUAGGGAGAGCCCAGCUCACCCAUAACUGAGAGAAACAAUCCACCAUUUGGACAUCUGUUCCGAGCAGCCUAUAGGCUGCUGUCGGUAUACCGACCGAUGUCUAUAUACGACCACCGAUCGCUUAGCCCACCUUUGAUGAGGUGCGAUCUACCUAGACGGAAGGCUUCUCGCAGCUUCUGGUGAGCUACCAUUUUAUUAUUAUUUCUCUCCUAACAUUGAAUAAUUAUUGCUAUUAUUACGUGCGAAGGCCGCCUCUCUGGUGGAGUAGAAGCGGCUGCAUCUUUGUUUAUGGUGGCGGACGACUACCUGCCCUGCAUCUUAUAGCUGCUCUAUGCUAGAACAAAAUCGGGGCGGUAGCCGAAGUUGGUAGAUUUUAUCGUUGGGAAUCAAAAGUGGUUAGUAGACGACUGGUACUAGAAGAUUGUUGGAAAGAAAAUACUAUAAGGAAGGAAGAGGUGAUAUUCACACUUUUUGAAACUAUUGCAGCUAUUGUGAUAUACCUGAAUACAUCAAACUUUGGUAAAUUUCCCCAAGCUGUAAAGUAACUAUGCUUAAACUGCAAACAAAAUAAAAUAUUUAAAAUAAUACAUUAUAAUGAUAAAAAUAUUAAGGCAAUAAAAUGGUUUUCGUGAACUACUUUGGACAGUUGAAUAGUUACUCAACUAGGUCAAAAGAAAUGUGAACAUUAUUUUCUUGGCAUUCAUAAUUAUUAAGCAAUUAAUUCAACUGAACACCACAUCUCUGAGUGGUGUUUAAAGUUUUGCAUUUUAUUCUCACGGUUUCUCCACCAUCACUGUGGAUUAGCUUCCUCUGCUGUUGGAAGAUCACCUAAUGCUACCUUCAAAAUUGGAAGCUGCACCUUACUAUCAGUCUGAAACAUUCCGGUUCAAUAGUGAGUCGAAAAGAUGUACAGUGUUCUGUUAGUUCAGGCAGUCAGAAAUGUUUCCCGCGGGCCUUCGUUUGAAGGUUAAUUAUCGCUGUCACGCUUUUUGAAGGUUAAUUAUCGAUGUCGCGCGGACCUUGUUGAACAUAAUUAAAGAGUUUAAGGGUUACAUCUAGGUUAAUGGGAUUGGCAACUGGGUAGCGUUUUCCUCAAACGAUGCGUACGAUAAAAAAAACUUUCGUUCGAAAUUGGGUGGAAGAAAUGAUGACUAGACGGUAAAUAUUUUUUGGUGAAGAAGGGCAAAAAUGUUAUGCAAAUUGAAAUUUCAGUCAAAGCGCAAUUAAUUCAGAAUAGAUUUUCAAUUUCUACUGCGAUGGUUUAAAAUAAUAUUGUUACAUAAACUUCUGCAGAACUAAGUUGCCUACUUUUAGCGAUUGUAUAAAAUGAUUUAAUUCUGCAAAAAAAUAACACAUUAUAUUGGUUGGGAGGGGAAUGGC